rnacentral:rRNA from 1 species
AUAUCAGGAGGAACACCGAUGGCGAAGGCAGGUCUCUGGGCAUUAACUGACGCUGAGGAGCGAAAGCAUGGGGAGCGAACAGGAUUAGAUACCCUGGUAGUCCAUGCCGUAAACGUUGGGCACUAGGUGUGGGGGACAUUCCACGUUUUCCGCGCCGUAGCUAACGCAUUAAGUGCCCCGCCUGGGGAGUACGGCCGCAAGGCUAAAACUCAAAGGAAUUGACGGGGGCCCGCACAAGCGGCGGAGCAUGCGGAUUAAUUCGAUGCAACGCGAAGAACCUUACCAAGGCUUGACAUGGGCCAGACCGCCGCAGAAAUGUGGUUUCCCCUUUGGGGCUGGUUCACAGGUGGUGCAUGGUUGUCGUCAGCUCGUGUCGUGAGAUGUUGGGUUAAGUCCCGCAACGAGCGCAACCCUCGUUCUAUGUUGCCAGCACGUGAUGGUGGGGACUCAUAGGAGACUGCCGGGGUCAACUCGGAGGAAGGUGGGGACGACGUCAAAUCAUCAUGCCCCUUAUGUCUUGGGCUUCACGCAUGCUACAAUGGCCGGUACAAAGGGUUGCGAUACUGUGAGGUGGAGCUAAUCCCAAAAAGCCGGUCUCAGUUCGGAUUGGGGUCUGCAACUCGACCCCAUGAAGUCGGAGUCGCUAGUAAUCGCAGAUCAGCAACGCUGCGGUGAAUACGUUCCCGGGCCUUGUACACACCGCCCGUCAAGUCACGAAAGUUGGUAACACCCGAAGCCGGUGGCCUAACCCCUUGUGGGAGGGAGCUGUCGAAGGUGGGACUGGCGAUUGGGACUAAGUC